AUUGAACGCUGGCGGCAUGCCUUACACAUGCAAGUCGAACGGUAACGGGCCUUCGGGUGCCGACGAGUGGCGAACGGGUGAGUAAUACAUCGGAACGUGCCCGAUCGUGGGGGAUAACGAGGCGAAAGCUUUGCUAAUACCGCAUACGAUCUACGGAUGAAAGCCGGGGACCGCAAGGCCUUGCGCGGACGGAGCGGCCGAUGGCAGAUUGGGUAGUUGGUGGGAUACAGGCUUACCAAGCCGACGAUCUGUAGCUGGUCUGAGAGGAUGAUCAGCCACACUGGAACUGAGACACGGCCCAGACUCCUACGGGAGGCAGCAGUGGGGAAUGUUGGACAAUGGGCGCAAGCCUGAUCCAGCCAUGCCGCGUGCAGGAUGAAGGCCUUCGGGUUGUAAACUGCUUUUGUACGGAACGAAAAGCCUUCUUUUAAUACAGGAGGGUCAUGACGGUACCGUAAGAAUAAGCACCGGCUAACUACGUG
rnacentral:rRNA from 1 species